UACGUAGGCAGCGAGCGUUGUUCGGAAUUACUGGGCGUAAAGCGUGCGCAGGCGGUGAUGUAAGACAGUUGUGAAAUCCCCGGGCUCAACCUGGGAACUGCAUCUGUGACUGCAUCGCUGGAGUGCGGCAGAGGGGGAUGGAAUUCCGCGUGUAGCAGUGAAAUGCGUAGAUAUGCGGAGGAACACCGAUGGCGAAGGCAAUCCCCGUGGGCCUGCACUGACGCUCAUGCACGAAAGCGUGGGGAGCAAACAGG
rnacentral:rRNA from 1 species